UACGUAGGGGGCAAGCGUUGUCCGGAAUCAUUGGGCGUAAAGCGCGUGUAGGCGGCCCGGUAAGUCCGCUGUGAAAGUCCAGGGCUCAACCCUGGAAAGCGGGUGGAUACUGCCGGGCUAGAAUCCGGAAGAGGCGAGUGGAAUUCCUGGUGUAGCGGUGGAAUGCGCAGAUAUCAGGAGGAACACCAAUAGCGAAGGCAGCUCGCUGGGACGGUAUUGACGCUGAGGCGCGGAAAGCGUGGGGAGCAAACAGG
rnacentral:rRNA from 1 species